CCCUUAGAUGUUCUGGGCCGCACGCGCGCUACACUGAUGCAUUCAACGAGCCUAUCCUUGACCGACAGGUCCGGGUAAUCUUUGAAUCUGCAUCGUGACGGGGAUAGAUUAUUGCAAUUAUUAAUCUUCAACGAGGAAUGCCUAGUAGGCGCAAGUCAUCAGCUUGCGUCGAUUACGUCCCUGCCCUUUGUACACACCGCCCGCCGCUCCUACCGAUUGGGUGUGCUGGUGAAAUGUUCGGAUCGGCCGUUUGUCGCGGUUUCCGCGUCAUGUGGCUGAGAAGUUCAUUAAACCCUCCCACCUAGAGGAAGGAGAAGUCGUAACA
rnacentral:rRNA from 1 species